UGCCAUUUUCCCUCUGGAAUGUGGGUUCCUGGUGGUGUGAUCCUUUGUGCUGUUUAAUCCUCUCCCUGUUUAUCCAGGCCUGGAAGAAAGAAUUCCUGGUUCCUUCAGCCCCAGGGGAAGCUGCUCUGGGAGUGUCCAGGGAAGGGCUCCCUGUGCCAGGAGUCUCCGUGUUUUCCUGUCUCUGGAGCCAGUUGGGUCUGAAAGUUGGUCGUUUCAACGGGGCCUCUGAGGACGUCGGAAAACGGGGAAUUAACAAUAAUCCUGCAGCUGAGGAGCCUCAGACAAAGCCAAACCUCCAGGAAGCAGAAAGAAUCCAAGGAAAAACACUGGCUCUUCCCUUCCAAGGGAUGAUUUAAAGCAGUGGGUCCCCUCGGAGGCUGCGGGACGUGAACGACCUCACACGGAACAGCCAAGAGCCAAAGAGUGGGGUUUCCUUCCAGUUCUGGGGCAGGAUAAACCCAGGAACUCCAGUCCUGGCACCCAAUGGUAACACAGCCCUCGACAGCAGGAAAAAUGGGAAAUAAACCUUAAAAGCUCCACUUCCAUCCCAAUUGCCCUCACAGCACCCUCUGGCUCACACACAGGGAUAGAGGCAUUUUUCCCUGGAAAUCUGAGCUCAGUCACCACACCAGAGGUUUGUAAUGGAUGGAAUUUUAGCAGGAUCUGUAGUAAUAGGAUGGGGGGAAUGGUUUGAAGCUGGAAGAGGAGGGUUAGCUGGGAUAUUGGGAAGGAAUUGUUCCCU